rnacentral:rRNA from 1 species
GAUCCUGGCUCAGAGCGAACGUUAGCGGCGCGCCUAACACAUGCAAGUCGCACGAGAAAGGGGGCAACCCCCGGUACAGUGGCGCACGGGUGAGUAACACGUAGAUGACCUUCCCUGGAGUGGUGGAUAACCUGCCGAAAGGCGGGCUAAUACAGCAUGGGACCACACGGUUUUGGCCGAGUGGUGAAAGCGGGCCUCUGUUCACAAGCUCGCGCUCUGGGAUGGAUCUGCGGCCCAUCAGCUAGUUGGUGAGGUAACGGCUCACCAAGGCUACGACGGGUAGCUGGUCUGAGAGGAUGAUCAGCCACACUGGAACUGAGACACGGUCCAGACUCCUACGGGAGGCAGCAGUGGGGAAUCUUGCGCAAUGGGCGAAAGCCUGACGCAGCGACGCCGCGUGGGUGACGAAGGCCUCGGUUGUAAG